CAGUCGAACGAGUUCUCGUUGAUGAUCGGUGCUUGCACUGAGAUUCAACAUGGCCCGUAAGGCGGACGGGUGAGUAACACGUGGGUAACCUGCCCUUCAUUGGGGGAUAAUAUUUGGAAACAGAUGCUAAUACCGCAUAGAUCCAAGAACCGCAUGGUUCUUGGCUGAAAGAUGGCGCAAGCUAUCGCUUUUGGAUGGACCCGCGGCGUAUUAGCUAGUUGGUGAGGUAAUGGCUCACCAAGGCGAUGAUACGUAGCCGAACUGAGAGGUUGAUCGGCCACAUUGGGACUGAGACACGGCCCAAACUCCUACGGGAGGCAGCAGUAGGGAAUCUUCCACAAUGGACGCAAGUCUGAUGGAGCAACGCCGCGUGAGUGAAGAAGGCUUUCGGGUCGUAAAACUCUGUUGUUGGAGAAGAAUGGUCGGCAGAGUAACUGUUGUCGGCGUGACGGUAUCCAACCAGAAAGCCACGGCUAACUACGUGCCAGCAGCCGCGGUAAUACGUAGGUGGCAAGCGUUAUCCGGAUUUAUUGGGCGUAAAGCGAGCGCAGGCGGUUUUUAAGUCUGAUGUGAAAGCCCUCGGCUUAACCGAGGAAGCGCAUCGGAAACUGGGAAACUUGAGUGCAGAAGAGGACAGUGGAACUCCAUGUGUAGCGGUGAAAUGCGUAGAUAUAUGGAAGAACACCAGUGGCGAAGGCGGCUGUCUGGUCUGUAACUGACGCUGAGGCUCGAAAGCAUGGGUAGCGAACAGGAUUAGAUACCCUGGUAGUCCAUGCCGUAAACGAUGAAUGCUAGGUGUUGGAGGGUUUCCGCCCUUCAGUGCCGCAGCUAACGCAUUAA
rnacentral:rRNA from 1 species